GAGGGUAUAGUUCAGUGGUAGAGCACGUGCUCAGCAUGCAUAAGGUGCUGGGUUCAAUUCCCAGUAAUUCCA
rnacentral:tRNA from 1 species